GAUGAACGCUAGCGGCAGGCUUAAUACACGCAAGUCGAGGGGUAGCAAGAUUGUAGCAAUACAAUUGUUGACGACCGGCAAACGGGUGCGGAACACGUACACAACCUUCCUACAAGUGGGGAAUAGCCCAGAGAAAUUUGGAUUAAUACCCCGUAACAUAGCGAUGUGGCAUCUCAUUGCUAUUAUAGCUUCGGCGCUUGUUGAUGGGUGUGCGGGCUGAUUAGAUAGUUGGCGGGGUAACGGCCCACCAAGUCUACGAUCAGUAGCUGAUGUGGGGGCAUGAUCAGCCACACGGGCACGGAGAAACGGGCCCGACUCCUACGGGAGGCAGCAGUAAGGAAUAUUGGACAAUGGACGAAAGUCUGAUCCAGCCAUGCCGCGUGAAGGAUUAAGGUCCUCUGGAUUGUAAACUUCUUUUAUAAGGGACGAAAAAAGGUCUUUCUAGAUCGUCUGACGGUACCUUAUGAAUAAGCACCGGCUAACUCCGUGCCAGCAGCCGCCGUAAGAC
rnacentral:rRNA from 1 species